CCGGAUCCCCGAGCAGCAGCCCCUUCCUGAACACAAAGGACCUCUCUGCUGUCCAGCAAGUCCUGCUGUAUCUCCCAAGCAUGCGCAACAGGAAAUGUUUAGUUUCUCCCUGACUGUGAGUCCUGCUGGCCCAGGAGACUUCAGGCCCACCACCAGAGGCAAGGCAGUCAUCCUCCAU